AAAUUGAAGAGUUUGAUCAUGGCUCAGAUUGAACGCUGGCGGCAGGCCUAACACAUGCAAGUCGAACGGUAACAGGAAGCGGCUUGCUGCUUCGCUGACGAGUGGCGGACGGGUGAGUAAUGUCUGGGAAACUGCCUGAUGGAGGGGGAUAACUACUGGAAACGGUGGCUAAUACCGCAUAACGUCGCAAGACCAAAGAGGGGGACCUUCGGGCCUCUUGCCAUCAGAUGUGCCCAGAU
rnacentral:rRNA from 1 species